rnacentral:rRNA from 1 species
UACGUAGGGUGCAAGCGUUAAUCGGAAUUACUGGGCGUAAAGCGUGCGCAGGCGGUUUUGUAAGUCAGAUGUGAAAUCCCCGGGCUUAACCUGGGAGCUGCGUUUGAAACUACAAGGCUAGAGUGUAGCAGAGGGGGGUGGAAUUCCACGUGUAGCAGUGAAAUGCGUAGAGAUGUGGAGGAACACCGAUGGCGAAGGCAGCCUCCUGGGCCAGUACUGACGCUCAUGCACGAAAGCGUGGGGAGCAAACAGG